rnacentral:lncRNA from 13 species
AUGCACGCUGCGGGACAGGAGGGGAUGGAUUCACUCACCAGGUCAGCCAGGCAGGCUCCCAGCCAGGGAUCUCUGCCCUGGGCCUGCCCGCCAGCCCCGGGAGAGACGAGCACGGAGUCUGCUGGCAGGGGGGGCUCGGGGAGGGUUUCACCUGGGCACGGUACCCCCGCCCCAGCCCCAGCCCAGGCUCGGGCUGAGCCCGGAGCGGGACAGCAGCAGCAGCAGCGGCUGGAGCGCGCUGCCCUCUCUCGGGAGGAGAACCGCCCUGCAGCGCCCGGCGGGCCGGGAUGGCUGGGGACGGUCCCCGAGAGCCCCGGGCGGGCAGGGGAUGGCUGGGGACGGUCCCCGAGAGCCCCGGGCGGGCAGGGGAUGGCUGGGGACGGUCCCCGAGAGCCCCGGGCGGGCCGGGAUGGCUGGGAACGGUCCCCGAGAGCCCCGGGCGGGCCGGGAUGGCUGGGGACGGUCCCCGAGAGCCCCGGGCGGGCCGGGAUGGCUGGGGACGGUCCCCGAGAGCCCCGGGCGGGCAGGGGAUGGCUGGGGACGGUUCCCGAGAGGCCCGGGCGGGCCGGGAUGGCUGAGGACGGUCCCCGAGAGCCCCGGGCGGGCAGGGGAUGGCUGGGGACGGUUCCCGAGAGGCCCGGGCGGGCCGGGAUGGCUGAGGACGGUCCCCAGAGCCCCAUCCGGGCGGCUGAGGAUGGCAGGGAACCGCUCCCCGAGAGCCCCGGGCGGGCAGGGGACGGUCCCCAGGAGCCUCGGGCGGUCAGGGGCUGUCUGGGGACGGUGCCCAGAGCCCCGGCCCCGCACAGAAGCCGCUUUCACACGGCCGCCAGCUCCGGGCCGCAGCGGGGGAGCCAAGGGCGGCAGCAGCUGAAGAGCUUUGCCAACAAAGGGGGAUUCAGGAGAGCCGCGGUGACAACUGCUCCGGGACGCAGCCCCGGCACGGAAAAUGCUGCGCUGCAAAUCUUCCUGCGGGAGGGACAGAGCCGGGCUGGCUCCUGCUGCCCGCGCCACUGCGGGUGGCAGCGCUCCCAGGAUGCAGGAACGGGGUGUGGGACAGUCGGGAGAGCCUUCUGGAGGCACAAAAAAGAUCCGGUCUAA